CCUACGGGAGGCAGCAGUGGGGAAUCUUGCGCAAUGGGCGAAAGCCUGACGCAGCAACGCCGCGUGCGGGAAGAAGGCUUUCGGGCUGUAAACCGCUUUCAGCAGGAACGAAAAUGACGGUACCUGCAGAAGAAGGAGCGGCCAACUAUGUGCCAGCAGCCGCGGUGAUACAUAGGCUUCAAGCGUUGUCCGGAUUUAUUGGGCGUAAAGAGUUCGUAGGCGGUCGAGUAAGUCGGGUGUGAAAAUUCUGGGCUCAACCCAGAGACGCCACCCGAUACUGCUUGACUUGAGUUCGAUAGGGGAGUGGGGAAUUCCUAGUGUAGCGGUGAAAUGCGCAGAUAUUAGGAGGAACACCGGUGGCGAAGGCGCCACUCUGGAUCGAUACUGACGCUGAGGAACGAAAGCAUGGGUAGCAAACAGGAUUAGAUACCCUGGUAGUCCAUGCCGUAAACGGUGGGCACUAGGUGUGGGUUUCUAUUAACGAAAUCCGCGCCGUCGCUAACGCAUUAAGUGCCCCGCCUGGGGAGUACGGUCGCAAGACUAAAACUCAAAGAUAAGUGCGUUGNGAGNGCGACGAGCGACGAGGAGGAG
rnacentral:rRNA from 1 species